AGAGCAACCACUUAACACCUAACCAAUUAUUGAUGUAUAUUCCAUGUUAUCUCUGACAAUGCAUAUGAUGUAAUUUUGCUUUAAAAGGGACUUGCCGUCCCCUCUGAAUAAACUUUCCUCAAGUUAUUCAACAACCUAGAACCUGUGUCUGGUGUGAAUUACUUCAGGGAGCGUGCACGCAUAGUUUCAUUGAUUUGGCCAGGGGCAGAUACA